UUAACCAGGUAGGCUAGUUGAGAACACCUUUAUUUAACCAGGUAGGCCAGUUGAGAACACCUUUAUUUAACCAGGUAGGGCCAGUUGAGAACACCUUUAUUUAACCAGGUAGGCCAGUUGAGAACACCUUUAUUUAACCAGGUAGGCCAGUUGAGAACACCUUUAUUUAACCAGGUAGGCUAGUUGAGAACACCUUUAUUUAACCAGGUAGGCCAGUUGAGAACACCUUUAUUUAACCAGGUAGGGCCAGUUGAGAACACCUUUAUUUAACCAGGUAGGCCAGUUGAGAACACCUUUAUUUAACCAGGUAGGCUAGUUGAGAACACCUUUAUUUAACCAGGUAGGCCAGUUGAGAACACCUUUAUUUAACCAGGUAGGCCAGUUGAGAACACCUUUAUUUAACCAGGUAGGCUAGUUGAGAACACCUUUAUUUAACCAGGUAGGCCAGUUGAGAACACCUUUAUUUAACCAGGUAGGCCAGUUGAGAACACCUUUAUUUAACCAGGUAGGCCAGUUGAGAACACCUUUAUUUAACCAGGUAGGCUAGUUGAGAACACCUUUAUUUAACCAGGUAGGCCAGUUGAGAACACCUUUAUUUAACCAGGUAGGGCCAGUUGAGAACACCUUUAUUUAACCAGGUAGGCCAGUUGAGAACACCUUUAUUUAACCAGGUAGGCCAGUUGAGAACACCUUUAUUUAACCAGGUAGGCCAGUUGAGAACACCUUUAUUUAACCAGGUAGGCCAGUUGAGAACACCUUUAUUUAACCAGGUAGACUAGUUGAGAACACCUUUAUUUAACCAGGUAGACUAGUUGAGAACACCUUUAUUUAACCAGGUAGGCCAGUUGAGAACACCUUUAUUUAACCAGGUAGGCCAGUUGAGAACACCUUUAUUUAACCAGGUAGGCCAGUUGAGAACACCUUUAUUUAACCAGGUAGGCCAGUUGAGAACACCUUUAUUUAACCAGGUAGGCUAGUUGAGAACACCUUUAUUUAACCAGGUAGGCCAGUUGAGAACACCUUUAUUUAACCAGGUAGGCUAGUUGAGAACACCUUUAUUUAACCAGGUAGGCCAGUUGAGAACACCUUUAUUUAACCAGGUAGGGCCAGUUGAGAACACCUUUAUUUAACCAGGUAGGCCAGUUGAGAACACCUUUAUUUAACCAGGUAGGCCAGUUGAGAACACCUUUAUUUAACCAGGUAGGCCAGUUGAGAACACCUUUAUUUAACCAGGUAGGCCAGUUGAGAACACCUUUAUUUAACCAGGUAGACUAGUUGAGAACACCUUUAUUUAACCAGGUAGACUAGUUGAGAACACCUUUAUUUAACCAGGUAGACUAGUUGAGAACACCUUUAUUUAACCAGGUAGGCCAGUUGAGAACACCUUUAUUUAACCAGGUAGGCCAGUUGAGAA